rnacentral:rRNA from 1 species
UACCAGCCCCUGAGUGGUAAGGACGAUCAUCUGGCUUAAAGCGUCCGUAGCCGGCUUAGUGAGUCUCUUGUUAAAUCCAAUGAUUCAAUCAUUGAACUGCAAGAGAUACUACUAUGCUAGAGGACGGGAGAGGUCGACGGUAGUCCAAGGGUAGGGGUGAAAUCCUAUAAUCCUUGGAGGACCACCAGUGGCGAAGGCGGUCGACUAGAACGUGCCUGACGGUGAGGGACGAAAGCUGGGGGAGCGAACCGGAUUAGAUACCCGGGGUAGUCCCAGCUGUAAACGAUGCGGGCUAGGUGUAGGGGCAGCUACGAGCUGGCUCCUGUGCCGCAGAGAAAUUGUUAAGCCCGCGCCUGGGGAUACGAUCGCAAGACUGAAACUUAAAGGAAUUGGCGGGGGAGCACCACAAGGGGUGAAGCCUGCGGUUC